CACGUAGGGCGCAAGCGUUGUCCGGAAUUAUUGGGCGUAAAGAGCUCGUAGGUGGUUUGUUACGUCUGCUGUGAAAACCUAGGGCUUAACCCUGGGCUUGCAGUGGAUACGGGCAGACUAGAGGUAGGUAGGGGAGAAUGGAAUUCCUGGUGUAGCGGUGGAAUGCGCAGAUAUCAGGAGGAACACCCAUAGCGAAGGCAGCUUGCUGGGACGUUACUGACGCUAAGGCGCGAAAGCUAGGGGAGCAAACGGG
rnacentral:rRNA from 1 species